rnacentral:rRNA from 1 species
CCUACGGGGUGCUGCAGUGAGGAAUAUUGGUCAAUGGACGAGAGUCUGAACCAGCCACGUCGCGUGAAGGAUGACUGCCCUAUGGGUUGUAAACUUCUUUUAUAUGGGAAUAAAACGUUCCACGUGUGGGAUUUUGUAUGUACCAUAUGAAUAAGGAUGCGCUAAUUCCGUGCCAGCAGCCGCGGUAAUACGGAGGAUCCGAGAGUUAUCCGGAUUUAUUGGGUUUAAAGGGAGCGUAGUGGGAUUGUUAAGUCAGUUGUGAAAGUUUGCGGCUCAACCGUAAAAUUGCAGUUGAAACUGGCAGUCUUGAGUACAGGAGAGGUGGGCGGAAUUCGUGGUGUAGCGGUGAAAUGCUUAGAUAUCACGAAGAACUCCGAUUGCGAAGGCAGUUCACUGGACUGCAACUGACACUGAGGCUCGAAAGUGUGGGUAUCAAACAGGAUUAGAUACCCCAGUAGUC